rnacentral:snoRNA from 1 species
CCUCAGUUCCCAAGUAUGAUGAUGGGGUGAUCACAAUGCUGGGUGAGAUGUGCUUCCCUCUAAACCUUCUUAUGAUGUUUUGAUCACAUUACCCACCUGAU